rnacentral:rRNA from 1 species
UACGGAGGAUCCAAGCGUUAUCCGGAUUUAUUGGGUUUAAAGGGUGCGCAGGCGGAAGAUUAAGUCGGCGGUGAAAUUUUGCAGCUCAACUGUAAAAGUGCCUUCGAAACUGGUUUCCUUGAGUGUAGAUGAAGUAGGCGGAAUUUGUGGUGUAGCGGUGAAAUGCAUAGAUAUCACGAGGAACUCCGAUUGCGCAGGCAGCUUACUAAACUACUACUGACGCUCAGGCACGAAGGCGUGGGGAUCAAACAGGAUUAGAUACCCGCGUAGUCCCU